rnacentral:rRNA from 1 species
AUUGAACGCUGGCGGCAUGCCUUACACAUGCAAGUCGAACGGCAGCACGGGUGCUUGCACCUGGUGGCGAGUGGCGAACGGGUGAGUAAUACAUCGGAACAUGUCCUGUAGUGGGGGAUAGCCCGGCGAAAGCCGGAUUAAUACCGCAUACAAUCUACGGAUGAAAGCGGGGGACCUUCGGGCCUCGCGCUAUAGGGUUGGCCGAUAGCUGAUUAGCUAGUUGGUGGGGUAAAGGCCUACCAAGGCGACGAUCAGUAGCUGGUCUGAGAGGACGACCAGCCACACUGGGACUGAGACACGGCCCAGACUCCUACGGGAGGCAGCAGUGGGGAAUUUUGGACAAUGGGCGAAAGCCUGAUCCAGCAAUGCCGCGUGUGUGAAGAAGGCCUUCGGGUUGUAAAGCACUUUUGUCCGGAAAGAAAUCCUUGGCUCUAAUACAGUCGGGGGAUGACGGUACCGGAAGAAUAAGCACCGGCUAACUACGUG